rnacentral:lncRNA from 1 species
CGGGAGCCGCGGGGCGCGCAGCCUUCCUGAUGUGUCACCAGCACGUGGAGCCAGGUCGGGCCGCGGCGAGCAAGCCGACCCCCCCAACUUUCGAGGGGUCUCGCCGCCCCGCUCCUCUCCCGGCUUCGUCGGGCUCGCUCUCCUAGCGGAGGGGGCGGCGGCGGCCCCCAGGUCCCGGGCAGGUCGAGCGAGGCCACGGC